rnacentral:rRNA from 1 species
GUGAGGAAUUUUGCGCAAUGGCCGCAAGGCUGACGCAGCAACGCCGCGUGGGUGAUGAAGGCCUUCGGGUCGUAAAGCCCUGUCAGGUGGGAAGAAAGGCCUGGAGAGGAAAGGUUUCAGGUUUGACGGUACCACCAGAGGAAGCACCGGCUAACUCCGUGCCAGCAGCCGCGGUAAUACGGAGGGUGCGAGCGUUAUUCGGAAUUACUGGGCGUAAAGCGCGUGUAGGCGGGGGGACAAGUCUGAUGUGAAAGCCCUGGGCUUAACCUGGGAAGUGCAUUGGAAACUGUUUUUCUUGAGUACUGGAGAGGAAGGGGGAAUUCCCGGUGUAGAGGUGAAAUUCGUAGAGAUCGGGAGGAAUACCAGUGGCGUAGGCGCCCUUCUGGACGGUAACUGACGCUGAGACGCGAAAGCGUGGGGAGCAAACAGGAUUAGAUACCCUUGUAGUCC